rnacentral:rRNA from 1 species
AUUGAACGCUGGCGGCAGGCUUAACACAUGCAAGUCGAGCGAGCGGCGGACGGGUGAGUAAUGUCUGGGAAACUGCCUGAUGGAGGGGGAUAACUAUUGGAAACGGUAGCUAAUACCGCAUACCAUCAGAUGUGCCCAGAUGGGAUUAGCUAGUGGGUGGGGUAAUGGCGCACAUAGGCGACGAUCCCUAGCUGGUCUGAGAGGAUGAACAGCCACACUGGAACUGAUACACGGUCCAGACUCCUACUGGAGGCAGCUGUGGGGAAUAUUGCGCAAGGGGCGCAAUCCUGAUGCAGCCAUGCCGCGGGUGUGAAGAAGGCCUUCGGGUUGUAAAGCACUUUCAGCGAGGAGGCGUUACUCGCAGAAGAAGGACCGGCUAACUCCGUGCCAGCAGCCGCGGUAAUAC